rnacentral:lncRNA from 1 species
AGGUGAGAUGUAGGGGUACAUCAUCGCUGAAUAAGUGACUCACCUGCUGAGCAUUCUGCUGUCAAGAGCUGCUCGUGAAACACAUGGGUAUAAGUAUCUUUCAGACCUGAGAUCACCAUAGUGACUUGCAAGCAAUUCACUGUGCUUUAGUGCCGGACUACCUGGAUUUUUAAUGUAGUGACAGAAGGCUAUUGGGUAUAGUCAAGUACUUACGAAGUCUGUGCAUGGAUCA